CCGGAUCUCAGAUCAAGCAAGAAUACCCGCC
rnacentral:rRNA from 1 species